rnacentral:rRNA from 1 species
UACGUAGGGGGCUAGCGUUGUCCGGAUUUAUUGGGCGUAAAGAGCGUGUAGGCGGCCAGGUAGGUCUGGUGUGAAAACUCGAGGCUUAACCUCGAGAUGUCAUCGGAAACCAUCUGGCUAGAGUCCGGAAGAGGCGAGUGGAAUUCCCGGGUGUAGCGGUGAAAUGCGCAGAUAUCGGGAGGAACACCUAUGGCGAAGGCAGCUCGCUGGGGACGGUACUGACGCUGAGACGCGAAAAGCGUGGGGGGAGCAAAACAGG